rnacentral:rRNA from 1 species
UACAGAGGUCCCAAGCGUUGUUCGGAUUCACUGGGCGUAAAGGGUGCGUAGGUGGCCAGGUAAGUUCGGUGUGAAAGCUCGGAGCUUAACUCCGAAAUGGCAUUGAAUACUAUCUGGCUAGAGGGUCGGAGGGGAGACUGGAAUUCUCGGUGUAGCAGUGAAGUGCGUAGAUAUCGAGAGGAACACCAGUGGCGAAGGCGAGUCUCUGGACGACUCCUGACACUGAGGCACGAAAGCCAGGGGAGCAAACAGG